rnacentral:rRNA from 1 species
GAUGAACGCUGGCGGCGUGCCUAACACAUGCAAGUCGAACGGAGAUUACGGACGGAAGUUUUCGGAUGGAAGCCUGUAAUUCUUAGUGGCGGACGGGUGAGUAACGCGUGGGCAACCUGCCCUAUACAGGGGGAUAGCAGCUGGAAACGGCUGGUAAGACCGCAUAAGUCGGUUAAAUCGCAUGAUUUGAUCGGGAAAUGAGCAAUCAGGUAUAGGAUGGGCCCGCGUCCGAUUAGCCAGUUGGCAGGGUAAAAGCCUACCAAAGCGACGAUCGGUAGCCGGACGGGGAGGUCGGACGGCCACAUUGGAACUGAGACACAGCCCAAACUCCUACGGGAGGCAGCAGUAGGGGAUAUUGCACAAUGGAGGAAACUCUAAUGCAGCGACGCCGCGUAAGUGAAGAAGUAUUUCGGUAUGUAAAGCUCUAUCAGCAGGGAAGAUGAUGACGGUACCUGACUAAGAAGCCCCGGCUAACUACGUG